CUGCCGUGAACGCGAUCGACCUCCUCGGCAAACCGCCUCGUCUCUGCUUUCACCGGCUCCUAUUCCGUUCUGUCACUCUUUCCGUACUUGUCUCCGUUGCAGAAUCCGCGCGCAGAAGCGGUCUUCGGCACUUAAACACGCACACGCACGUACACUCACCUCUACCUGUCCAUCAUGGCUGCAUCGUCGCACCAGCACUCUCUUGUGCUGGAGCGUUCCACCUGUCAGCACUACUACCACUGUGUGUUGUACGACAUCUCGUUUGACCUCCCUUUGCGGGAAAUCGCGGCGCAGGUGGUGCCGAGCAACGACUCAGAUAUAGUGCAGCGGCUCACAAGCGUCGAUUGCCGCGUUGUCCCGCAUCAGCUGCACGUGUACAAGGAACCACUGGAGAAGAAGUUCGGCUAUGUUUCCUUCUUUGUUCACCAGGCACCGCACUCCUCAACGGCCGCCGAUGACGUUCACCGUCUUGUGCGCGAGUGGGUUGCCGUCGAUCUCGCCUCCCAGUUGGCGGCAGUGCAAUGCAAGGUGCAGCUCGCCCAGCCGCCAGAGUGCCAUUCGUCGGAGCCGUUUCUGAACGCGCUCCGCCUCCAGUGCCCCCUGCUCGACCCCAAGCUGGCGCCAGACACGAAGAAACUCGAGACGUUUGUGCUCACCCGCGUGCGCUUUGGCCAGCGCUGCGAUAAUGCGUCUAUCAAUCAGCUGAAUGCCAUGCACUGCGACAACGCAAGGGCCGCUGCUUCCGCGGGUAGUGGUGGAGCUGAAACGGAAAUGUGCACAGAUGACCGGGUGACGGCGACGGAGGGCGAGCUGGAUGUGGGUGCGCACAGCGCAACUCGCACACUGCAUGAGCAUGUGUGGAAGUGCGUCGGCACCUUCUCGAUCGCUGCCCUGUCGCCCAAAGAACUCGUAUGGCUGAAGAAGCAGCUGCCUUCCUUUCCGCCGCUGCGCAUCACGAACGGGGACAUAGGCACGGCCCACUGCGAUGAAGCAAAACUGGCCCAGUUUUUUGGGACCUCGCUCGCUCCUCUGUUCACCGUGGACGAGGUGACGGGGGCAGCAGCCGUAAAUACCGUGAACUUGGAGGCAUAAUUGACAGAGGGUGUACACUGGUACAGUUGCAUUGUUUUUUUUUUUGCCUGCGGUUCGUUUUGUGAAUGUGUGAGCAUGUGUGUAGGUGCGCGUUUGCCUGUCUCCAGCUUUCUCUGUGUGCUGCUCUCCUUUUCUCUUAACGUCGCGCUUGAGGCGGAUAGGUGAGCUCCCGGGAGGGCAAGCGUGUGUGUGUGUGUGUGUGUGCGGUGGAAUUCAGCCGGGUACGACCGCACAAGACCUGCGCCUCCCUUUUUUUUGUUUGUUUUCGCCACCCGUCCGUCUUUGCUGUUAUUUUCUCUCGCAUAAUGGCGACGCUCUCCCUCCCUUGUUCUUUUUUUUCCCUUCGUUUGCCGCCUCGCCUCCUCUUAUUCUCUGGUGUGCGGACGUGUGUACUGUGAUGCGCGUUUUGUGCCGUCAGCAUCUAUUUUUUUUUUCUUUUUUGUCUGCCGCUCUCCUUUGUCACAUUUCUGAUCCUGCGGGCCACUUUACCGUGGCUUCGGGGUCUCGGGCAACUUCUGUGGAGAAGUUAAGCAGUCCGCAACCCGCACUCGGUUACGGCUGCGGUUUCUUGGUGACGGCGGGGAGGCCUCUGAUGGCGCUGUGCCCAAGAGACGUGCAGUGAUGAUGAUCACGCUUGCAUCAGGUGACUCUGACUCUGCCCGCUGACUCAACAAUGAUACGCCUUCAGGUAAAGCUUCUCUGCCUUUUCUGCGCUGCAUUGAUCUCAAGCUUAGCCCCUUACUUAUGCCGCACUGCAUGCAGUUCCGUUUCAGUGGCCUGAACGGCGCCACGUGGUGUUGGCUGUACCGGUUUCCUGACGAAUCGUCGCUGCAAGUCUGCAGUCUCCACGAGACGGGUUCUACCACCACCACGGGCCUGCCAAGGCGUCGGUUCUCCCGCGUUAUUAGCAGUCCAGCAUGGCAAGUGAGAAGAGGCACGACGCUGGCAUUUGCGUGCCCAUACAAGCGGAUGUAUGAACAAGUGUAGGCCCCAUUACCCAAACUGAAGAGUGACCGCACCGUGUUAUGGAAUGCAGCAGCUUGAAGCAACUUGGAUGGGAGGGGGGGGGCAUGGCAUCCCAGGAUGGUGUGCAGGCUCUCUCCGAGAGCCCUGACCUGCAGCUGGCGGAGUGCCUCCUGGAGCUCAUCCGGCACGCGCCUCUGCCCAGCCCCUAUUCCCCGCAUGGCAGACGCCGAUGCUUUUCGCCCUCGAGCAGCACCCUGGACGCGACUGGCUUGGGUGAAGGCGUGCGAUGCGCCCACGUCUCCGUCUGACGCCCGAGGCGCAUCACGUGUGCGAAGAAGGGACGAGAACCUCUUGCUAGACACAUGGCCCUGAUUCGACGGCAGGGCAGCUGGUCCUGGCGGAGAGGAUUGAGCCGUGGUGCAGUAGACGUGGUUCAGCUCUGCUUGUGUGUAUGCAUGGUUGCUGCUGGCCCGUGCGUGAGGGAAUGACACGCUCUAUAAGCAGCUCCCUCCCUUCCCCGUUUCUACCGCCAG
rnacentral:misc_RNA from 1 species